GAUGUUCCAAGGAAAGCGCGUUUACAGGGGUUGCAGAGACGAGCGUAAUCUGCCGCCUGCCUCUCCGGCGAAACCCGGUGCCCGGGAGCUGGGGACACCUGGGCGCACACCGCACCCUGCCAUCCCCGCCCAUUUUUCAGACGAGAGCUUCAGCCAGCCACUGGCUGCAAUAUGGCCAAGGACACCCGAAAAGCUAGAACUCGGCGACCAGCCCCACCCCGCGCGUCCAUCCUCCGGUCCCCAGCGCGUCCCACUUACCAUGCUGGCGCCGCGCUCACCUCCCGCCGCUCCGUACCCUGGUGCGCUGCAGUUCCUUCGCGCGGAUUUGAACCUUCCUCUGAAGCGCCGAUUCCAGCGGAGACUGCGAGCCGGGCCGGAGCGGUGGUGCGGCAGGCACCUAGAAAACGCGGGCGGGCGGGCGGACAGGCGCUGGAGCCGGAUUGGCGAGGAAGGGACGCGAUCGGCAGCACCCUCUUGCCUGCCCUACAGGAGGAGGGAAAACCCGGCCUGACUCAACGGCGCGCGGCAAGCCCAGAGCCCGGCCCGGGCCCCGGCCCCCGGAUGUGGGGGGCGGGGACGGGGGGGACAGCGCCCGCCCACCCGUAAUCCAACCUGAGCCCCGCCCCAAGUCGGGGAGCUCCUACCAGUCCUGAUCUGCCCGGGCCCUCGGUCCCUUAGCUGCUGUGCCAAACUCGGCUGACAGCCCUGUGCGCUCCGGCUCGUCCCCGGGUGGGUCCAAAACCUCAAGCACCGCCGAAGCCCCGGAGGUCUCGCAGUCCCCGCUCUUCCUCCUCCUCCUCCUCCUCCUCCCCCUCCUGUUCCUCCUGGCCUCAUCCGCCUCUCUGUCUCUUGCCAGAACUAAGCAGCUUCGGAAGAGGCUCGCUCGGUCCAUCACCUCUCUGAUCCGUGCCGCCUCCUCUCAGUUGUCUCCUAUGUUGACCAGGCUGACCUUAGAUUCCAGGGCUCCAGUGAUCCUCCCGCCUCAGCCUUCCAAUUCCUUGCCCUUAUCCUUCCAGAGGUCAUUCAUAACUGGAUAGUUUAGUUAAGAGUUCCCUGAAUCUGAGGAGAUUUCAGUCCCUGGUCUUCACUUGAGUCCUGAAAGAAAACACAGGUGCCUGGAGGGAUUGACAAACUGAGAUCAUCUUAGUUCAUACUUGGGGCGUGAUGUUUUCUAGAGCACCUAGAUGACUCAAAGCCUUGACUACUUUCAAGCUGAGGACCAAGCAUGUAAUACAGGAGCCUUUGAAUGACAUUCCAGAUCCAAACUAUAGCAGCCCAGCAGAGCCUUGCUAAAUUGCUGAGAGACUCAAUAAGUUGCCGAGACUGGCUUUGAACUCAUGAUCCUCCUGCCUCAGCCUCCUGAGACACUGGGAUGAUGUGCAGUUAUGUGCCACUGCAGCUGGCUUAGUUUACACUUUAUCAUAGAGUGUUCAAUCUUCAACAUUAGAAGGAGCAGAACUCAUCCCCGGUAAACGGCGGUAUCAAAUUUGGAGGUUCCACUGAGAUCUACGCCAAGAUAUUGUUCACAAAUAUCUAAAAAUGGCAUCAGAUAUUGAGAGUCACCAAGCAUCUGGGAAGUCAUCUGAUGAAAUCCAGUCACCACAGCUAUUUGUCUCAGAAAUCAUAAACAUAGAUGUAUCUCAAAGAAGAAUUUUUUCAAGUCACACUCAAUUGAUAGGAUGAAAAUUUUAAGAGAAGGCCAUCCCUCACUCUUCGAGGAUGCCAGAAUAUUGGUGAAUCAUUAUCUGAAUUCAGUGAAGAAAUGACUAUUGAAGAAAAUAUCAACAAGGAUAAUACUACAUAUUUGGGAUGGAGAUGUUUCCCCAAUUUAAUUACUUUAUAAACAAUGUGAAUUUACUAUCUAGAUAAAGUCAUAAUAACCUUUAAUUUCUCUCUCUCAUUCUCUGGUGUUUUAGGAAACACAACAUUGUAUAUAUUUCUCUUGCUUACUUGAAUAUUCUACUUUCACUCCAACAUUGUUACUAUGCCUGUCUCAAGUCAUAAUGAAUUAUUCCAUCCCACAUUUCUGUUUUACACUAGUUCAUAAAUAAUGAUAUAUUUCUUAAUAUUAUCCUAAUUGUUAAAUAACUAUUUUGACAUUUAAGUUGACAUUUAAAUAUUUGUGUUAGUCUUAUAACCUAAAAUAAUGUAGCUUAAAAAUGCAUAGAAAAUUUGUAAAAUUUGUUUGUGAUCUCAGCAUAGUUUUUCAAUGUGCUGUAUGCCUAUUGACUAUCUACCAAAUCUAAGG